AGUGAACGCUGGCGGUAGGCCUAACACAUGCAAGUCGAACGACAGCACAGUAAGAGCUUGCUCUUACGGGUGGCGAGUGGCGGACGGGUGAGGAAUACAUCGGAAUCUACUUUUUCGUGGGGGAUAACGUAGGGAAACUUACGCUAAUACCGCAUACGACCUACGGGUGAAAGCAGGGGAUCUUCGGACCUUGCGCGAUUGAAUGAGCCGAUGUCGGAUUAGCUAGUUGGCGGGGUAAAGGCCCACCAAGGCGACGAUCCGUAGCUGGUCUGAGAGGAUGAUCAGCCACACUGGAACUGAGACACGGUCCAGACUCCUACGGGAGGCAGCAGUGGGGAAUAUUGGACAAAGGGCGCAAGCCUGAUCCAGCCAUACCGCGUGGGUGAAGAAGGCCUUCGGGUUGUAAAGCCCUUUUGUUGGGAAAGAAAAGCAGCAGGUUAAUACCCCGCUGUUCUGACGGUACCCAAAGAAUAAGCACCGGCUAACUUCGUG
rnacentral:rRNA from 1 species